rnacentral:misc_RNA from 1 species
GCUCCGUAGGUGAACCUGCGGAGGGAUCAUUAAAAAAAAGAGUUGCAAGACUCGAACACCAUCGUGAACAUACCUUCUCGUCGUUGCUUCGGCGAGGCCGCUCGUUCAGGGCGCCCGCCGGAGGACCGCCAAACUCUUGUUUUCUUAGCGUAUCUCUGAGUGGACCACAAACAAAAUGAAUCAAAACUUUCAACAACGGAUCUCUUGGUUCUG